rnacentral:misc_RNA from 1 species
GACAACUUCAACAUGCUUGUUCGACCUCUGGAUAGAACAGCCAGCGACAAAAUGUUCAGUGAGUUGAUGAAAUUAAAAUUCGGACUUUGCGAAGAGGCACUGACUCGAUUUGGACAUUUUUUCUGCUUGAAGAAAGUCGACUUAUUCAAUUACCACGUUAGCAAAGAACUUGUUGAAGCGAUUAGAUGUCAAAAUUUGGAGUCACUUAGCCUCGGAAACUUAGAUUGGGUCAAACGUGGCAGGAGAUUCAUGAACGGUUACGAUAUAGUACGUUUUUUGGAAAGUUUUCUCAACGAAGAAUCUCGUAAUGUACUUCACAGUUUAGAAAUCACGAUGGAGAGUCCAUUUGCCAAGGAAUGGCCAGCAAAGAUAAAUAAUAUGCUGCCCGCUUUGAAAUGCUUUGCAAUCAAUGGACAAGUGAAUGACGAUGAGUUUUCCCAUCUUUGCAUUGGUUUUUCCAAUUUACGUGUGUUGGAUAUUAGUAAUACAAACAUCAGAAACCUUUCCGGAAUGAAGAUGCUAGUUAAUUUACAAAUACUUUCAAUGAGAAACUUGGACAUUAACCAAACAUCUGAUUUAAUAGAACUAUUUUCAUUAACCAAGUUAACCGUUUUGGAUGUAUCGCAAGAUAAGUUGCGAUUUGAAAAACUUCUCUAAAUGUGGUACUCGCAUUUUCUAUUGCACGUCAAUCGAAUCAUUGUUCAGAAGCUUAAUUGACUUCACAAAUUUGAAAAAUGAGCUAGCAACUUGUAGAUGUUUAGAAGAACUGCACCGACAACUAAAUGCUUCUCGUAGCACCGAAAACUUGCAUUACUCGAGUUUAUUGAAACUGGUUAUUCAAACUAUGAACAUGUUCACGUCGAGAUCAACCUUAAUUAAUGGUCUUCAGUGCUUGAUUUGGAUAAUAAACCACAAAAUGGAUCAAAUUGGUCCAGUUAAUAUGUUUUUCACACUUAAAAAACUCCUGAGCUUAGCUGAUUUGUUGCCGGAAACGUAUUCAAAUGCGGAAAUAAUACGGUCAAAUCGAUUAUAUUGGGAUGCAAUUGUUAAACUUACAAAUUCGGAAAACACCAAUUUUGAUGAAAUCUGCUGGACAGCAAUGAACAUGAUGUCGAAAGUAACCUAUGCAGCUGGGUCAGGAAUGCGUUCAAAAGCUGGGAUUCAGAACGAGCGUACAUUGUUUUCUCAAUUCUUGCCAUAUUUAUGAAUAAAGCUAAGAACACAUCAACUCAGGAUGAACUUUGGAAUUUGAUUAAUAUGUCCAUGAUGCAAAUUUAUUGUCGGUUAAGCCAACCGAAAAUUUAUCCAUUUAUCUUGAAAAUUCUAUUCUUCAACGCGUUCUCGAAACUUCAAAGGAUGACGGUCCCAUUAUUUGGGCACUUUUAA